rnacentral:rRNA from 1 species
ACAGUGCCUGGUGGGUAGUUUGACUGGGGCGGUCUCCUCCCAAAGAGUAACGGAGGAGCACGAAGGUGGGCUAAUCACGGUUGGACAUCGUGAGGUUAGUGCAAUGGCAUAAGCCCGCUUGACUGCGAGAAUGACAAUUCGAGCAGGUGCGAAAGCAGGUCAUAGUGAUCCGGUGGUUCUGAAUGGAAGGGCCAUCGCUCAACGGAUAAAAGGUACUCCGGGGAUAACAGGCUGAUACCGCCCAAGAGUUCAUAUCGACGGCGGUGUUUGGCACCUCGAUGUCGGCUCAUCACAUCCUGGGGCUGAAGUCGGUCCCAAGGGUAUGGCUGUUCGCCAUUUAAAGUGGUACGCGAGCUGGGUUUAGAACGUCGUGAGACAGUUCGGUCCCUAUCUGCCGUGGGCGUUGGAAGAUUGAAGGGGGCUGCUCCUAGUACGAGAGGACCGGAGUGGACGAACCUCUGGUGUUCGGGUUGUGUCGCCAGACGCAUUGCCCGGUAGCUAAGUUCGGAAUCGAUAACCGCUGAAAGCAUCUAAGCGGGAAGCGAGCCCUGAGAUGAGUCUUCCCUGAUACUUUAAGUAUCCUAAAGGGUUGUCGGAGACUACGACGUUGAUAGGUCAGGUGUGUAAGUGCUGUGAGGCAUUGAGCUAACUGAUACUAAUUGCCCGUGAGGCUUAACCAUACAACAC